GAUGAACGCUGGCGGCGUGCCUAAUACAUGCAAGUCGAGCGAACAGAUAAGGAGCUUGCUCCUUUGACGUUAGCGGCGGACGGGUGAGUAACACGUGGGUAUCCUACCUAUAAGACUGGAAUAACUCCGGGAAACCGGGGCUAAUGCCGGAUAACAUUUAGAACCGCAUGGUUCUAAAGUGAAAGAUGGUUUUGCUAUCACUUAUAGAUGGACCCGCGCCGUAUUAGCUAGUUGGUAAGGUAACGGCUUACCAAGGCAACGAUACGUAGCCGACCUGAGAGGGUGAUCGGCCACACUGGAACUGAGACACGGUCCAGACUCCUACGGGAGGCAGCAGUAGGGAAUCUUCCGCAAUGGGCGAAAGCCUGACGGAGCAACGCCGCGUGAGUGAUGAAGGUCUUCGGAUCGUAAAACUCUGUUAUUAGGGAAGAACAAAUGUGUAAGUAACUGUGCACGUCUUGACGGUACCUAAGCAGAAAGCCACGGCUAACUACGU
rnacentral:rRNA from 1 species